rnacentral:lncRNA from 1 species
GGCCUAAAUAGUGUUCCUUGGAAUGAAAAUUACUCUGGGAAUGAAUAAACAAGAGCGCGCAAGUGCUCUUUUGGUAAUAACUGAGCUCUUUCAACCAUUUGCCAGUCAGAAAGUCUUCGAAUCCACCUGUGACCUGGAAGCGCCCCUACUUUGAGUUGUUCACCACUCCGGACUGAACCAAUGUACACCUUACAUGUAUGGAUUGAUCUCUGCCUGUAACUUCUAUCCCUCUAAAAUGUAGAAAAUUAAGCUGUAAACCAGACAUCUUGGGCACAUGGUCUCAGAACCUUCUGGGUCUGUGUCAUGGUCAUGCUCCUCACAUUCGGCUCAGAAUAAAUCUCUUUAAAUAUUUACAGAGUUGGACUUUUUUCAUUGACACCAAGCAACCUGAAUCAAGCUAGUACAGACAGCACAGACUCUCAGAUGAAAACUCUUAAUGUAAUUAAUGGGAAAGCAACUUGGAAAACACAUAAUUUAUUAAUUUUUAUUUAUUUAUUUUUGCUUAAAUCCAUGUUUCCGUGAAACAUAUUUUAAUUUGCUAUGGCAUUUCUUAUUAUUUGUCUUCCUUUCAAGAUAAUAUAUCAUCCUGUUGUGCAACAAGGUUGUACAGCAAGGUGUGUACUUAAUAUCACUGAACUGUAUGCUUAAAAAUGGUUAAAAUGGUAAACUCCAUUUACAUUUUACAUCAAUUAAAACAAACAUACAAUUGCUGAUUAAUUCUCUCAUUUUAGAAAUGCUAACUUUAGUGAACUCAUCAGUAAAUGGUAUCUGGGAGCUCUCAGAU